UACGUAGGGUGCAAGCGUUGUCCGGAAUUAUUGGGCGUAAAGAGCUCGUAGGCGGUUUGUUGCGUCGGCUGUGAAAACCUGAGGCUCAACCUCGGGUCUGCAGUCGAUACGAGCAAACUAGAGUGUUGCAGGGGAGACUGGAAUUCCUGGUGUAGCGGUGGAAUGCGCAGAUAUCAGGAGGAACACCGGUGGCGAAGGCGGGUCUCUGGGCAGUAACUGACGCUGAGGAGCGAAAGCGUGGGGAGCGAACAGG
rnacentral:rRNA from 1 species